rnacentral:tmRNA from 1 species
GGGGAUGUCACGGAGUCGACACGUUUAAUGAGUUAAUUAAUGGCAGUGGGAUAAGCUCCUUAUCGCUAUAAAUGAGACUUAAUAAAUGCAAAGUCAAACAAUGAAGAAAUGGCAAUUGAUCCAUUAAUGAUGAAUCAAAUGUCAUACAACGUACAAAUUAGUGCGUAAUUAUUUUUAAAAUUAUUUUUAUUUAAUUUAUCCUUCAAUGUUUUAGUGAAUUUAAUUUUUAAUAACUAAAACUUAAACUUAAAAGUCUUUUAAUGGUUGGGUUGUUUAUGUCUAACAAUCAUUAAAAGUGCAUUCAAAUACAUAAGCUAAACUGUAGAAGUUAGUUAAUAAGUUAAAUGUGGAAAUGGGUUCAAUUCCCAUCAUCUCCACCA